GGUCAAGCGAAUAAGCGCACACGGUGGAUGCCUUGGCGGUCAGAGGCGAUGAAGGACGUGGCAGCCUGCGAAAAGUAUCGGGGAGCUGGCAACAAGCUUUGAUCCGGUAAUGUCCGAAUGGGGAAACCCACCCGCUUGCGGGUAUCCUGCAGUGAAUACAUAGCUGCUGGAAGCGAACCUGGUGAACUGAAAUAUCUAAGUAACCAGAGGAAAAGAAAUCAACCGAGAUUCCGUAAGUAGCGACGAGCGAACGCGGACUAGCCCUUAAGCUGAUUUGGUUCUAGGAAAACGCUCUGGAAAGAGCGGCCAUAGAAGGUGAUAGCCCUGUAUCUGAAAGGGCCAUUUCAGUGAAGACGAGUAGGGCGGGGCACGUGAAACCCUGUCUGAACAUGGGGGGACCAUCCUCCAAGGCUAAAUACUACUGACCGACCGAUAGUGAACCAGUACCGUGAGGGAAAGGCGAAAAGAACCCCGGAGAGGGGAGUGAAAUAGAACCUGAAACCGUGUGCGUACAAG
rnacentral:rRNA from 1 species